rnacentral:rRNA from 1 species
UACGUAGGAGGCAAGCGUUGUCCGGAAUCACUGGGCGUAAAGCGCGUGUAGGUGGAAGAGGAAGUCUGCUGUGAAAGCGCCUGGCUUAACCGGGCGAGGUCGGUGGAAACUCCUCAUCUUGAGGGCGGUAGAGGGGGGUGGAAUUCCGGGUGUAGUGGUGAAAUGCGUAGAGAUCCGGAGGAACACCUGUGGCGAAGGCGGCCCCCUGGGCCGCACCUGACGCUGAGACGCGAAAGCUGGGGGAGCGAACGGG